rnacentral:rRNA from 1 species
UACGGAGGGUGCAAGCGUUAUCCGGAUUCACUGGGAUUAAAGGGUGCGUAGGUGGAUUGGUAAGUCAGUGGUGAAAUCUCCGGGCUUAACUCGGAAACUGCCAUUGAUACUAUCAGUCUUGAAUACCGUGGAGGCCAGUACAAUAUGUCAUGUAGCGGUGAAAUGCUUAGAUAUGACAUAGAAUACCAAUUGCGAAGGCAGCGGGCUACGCGAAUAUUGACACUCAGGCACGAAAGCGUGGGGAUCAAACAGG